UGGGGAAUUUUGCACAAUGGGGGGAACCUUGAUGCAGCGACGCCGCGUGAGGGAUGGAGGCCUUCGGGUUGUGAACCUCUUUCGCUCGUGUGCAAGCCGCUAUUUGGGUAGUGGUGAGUGUAGCGGGUAAAGAAGCGCCGGCUAACUACGUGCCAGCAGCCGCGGCAAUACGUAGGGCGCGAGCGUUGUCCGGAUUUAUUGGGCGUAAAGGGCUUGUAGGCGGUUUGUCGCGCCUGUCGUGUAAUCCUCUGGCUUAACUGGGGGUGUGCGGUGGGUACGGGCAAGCUUGAGUGCGGUAGGGGAGGUUGGAAUUCCUGGUGUAGCGGUGGAAUGCGCAGAUAUCAGGAGGAACACCGGUGGCGAGGGCGGGUCUCUGGGCCGUUACUGACGCUGAGGAGCGAAAGCGUGGGGAGCGAACAGG
rnacentral:rRNA from 1 species